rnacentral:misc_RNA from 1 species
AAGGAUCAUUAUUGAAUAAACUUGCGCAGGCUGUUGCUGGCCUCUUGGCAUGUGCACGCUUGUCAUCUUUAUUUCUCCAACUGUGCACAUAUUGUAGACCUGGAGUUUUUGUUGAUUUGUUUCGAGUUGGGACUGCUGUGCUUUUUCAUUAAAGUCAGCUUUGCCUUGCAUUCCCCAGGUCUAUGUCAUUUCACAACCUCUCAUAGUGUUUAGAAUGUUGAAUCAAUAUAUAUAUGUAUACAACUUUCAGCAACGGAUCUCUUGGCUCUC